rnacentral:rRNA from 1 species
UACGGGGGGGGCAAGCGUUGUUCGGAAUUACUGGGCGUAAAGGGCUCGUAGGCGGCCAACUAAGUCGGAUGUGAAAUCCCCAGGCUUAACCUGGGAACUGCAUCCGAUACUGGAUGGCUUGAAUCCGGGAGAGGGAUGCAGAAUUCCAGGUGUAGCGGUGAAAUGCGUAGAUAUCUGGAGGAAUACCGGUGGCGAAGGCGGCAUCCUGGACCGGCAUUGACACUGAUGAGCGAAAGCCAGGGGAGCAAACGGG